GACCCAGUGGUGAAAGGAAUCACACCUGCAUUCCAUGACUGUGUGUAUCUGUAUAUAAGCAGGAGAUCCCGGUUCGAAUCCGGGUUGGGUCA